UGAGUGGACGUCGCCUGAUGGGAGAGCUUUCACGAGAUUGUCAUCCGAUUGUUUGUGCUGGAUGGAGAAACUGAGAAGUUUAUAAACAGAAGGCAUGGAAGAAGAGAGCAGGUCCUAAAACAAAGAAAUUCUUCUUAAGGUAUGCUCCAAAUUUACCAUUUACCAUUGAGUUCACGGAGAUCUGACUAACUGUGUCUAUAUGUAUCCCCUCUUUAUCUCUCUUUCCUUUUUUUCUGUCCUCUUUUAGGAUAAACCUGG